AUUGAACGCUGGCGGCAGGCCUAACACAUGCAAGUCGAGCGGUAACACAGAGGAGCUUGCUCCUUGGGUGACGAGCGGCGGACGGGUGAGUAAUGCCUGGGGAUCUGCCCGAUAGAGGGGGAUAACUACGGGAAACUGUAGCUAAUACCGCAUAAUGUCUACGGACCAAAGUGGGGGCUCUUCGGACCUCAUGCUAUCGGAUGAACCCAGGUGGGAUUAGCUAGUUGGUGAGGUAAUGGCUCACCAAGGCGACGAUCUCUAACUGGUUUGAGAGAAUGACCAGUCACACUGGAACUGAGACACGGUCCAGACUCCUACGGGAGGCAGCAGUGGGGAAUAUUGCACAAUGGGCGCAAGCCUGAUGCAGCCAUGCCGCGUGUGUGAAGAAGGCCUUCGGGUUGUAAAGCACUUUCAGCGGGGAGGAAGGGCUACUAGUUAAUACCUAGUGGCAUUGACGUUACUCGCAGAAGAAGCACCGGCUAACUCCGUGCCAGCAGCCGCGGUAAUACGGAGGGUGCAAGCGUUAAUCGGAAUUACUGGGCGUAAAGCGCACGCAGGCGGUUUGNUAAGUCANAUGUGAAAUCCCCGAGCUCAACUUGGGAACUGCAUUUGAAACUGGCAAGCUAGANUCUUGUAGAGGGGGGUAGAAUUCC
rnacentral:rRNA from 1 species